rnacentral:rRNA from 1 species
UCGCUCCUACUGAUUGAGUGCUCCGGUAAAUAGUUUGGACAUAGCAUUGUUGAUCUCUGACAAAAGUACUAUGAAAUUUCGAUGAACCUUAUCACUUAGAGGAAGGAG